rnacentral:rRNA from 1 species
AACCUCCGCAAUGUGAGAAAUCGCGACGGGGGGAUCCCAAGUGCCAUUCUUAACGGGAUGGCUUUUCUUAAGUGUAAAAAGCUUUUGGAAUAAGAGCUGGGCAAGACCGGUGCCAGCCGCCGCGGUAACACCGGCAGCUCUAGUGGUAGCUGUUUUUAUUGGGCCUAAAGCGUUCGUAGCCGGUUUGAUAAGUCACUGGUGAAAUCCUGUAGCUUAACUGUGGGAAUUGCUGGAGAUACUGUUGAACUUGAGGUCGGGAGAGGUUAGCGGUACUCCCAGGGUAGAGGUGAAAUUCUGUAAUCCUGGGAGGACCGCCUGUUGCGAAGGCGUCUAACUGGAACGGUUCUGACGGUGAGGGACGAAAGUUAGGGGCGCGAACCGGAUUAGAUACCCGGGUAGUCCUAACCGUAAACGAUGCGGACUUGGUGUUGGGGUGGCUUUGAGCUGCUCCAGUGCCGAAGGGAAGCUGUAAGUCCGCCGCCUGGGAAGUACGGUCGCAAGACUGAAACUUAAAGGAAUU